rnacentral:rRNA from 1 species
GAAACCGGAGCUAAUACCGGAUAAUAUAUUGAACCGCAUGGUUCAAUAGUGAAAGACGGUUUUGCUGUCACUUAUAGAUGGAUCCGCGCCGCAUUAGCUAGUUGGUAAGGUAACGGCUUACCAAGGCAACGAUGCGUAGCCGACCUGAGAUGGUUAUCGGCCACACUGGAACUGAGACACGGUCCAG